rnacentral:rRNA from 1 species
AGCGAACGCUGGCGGCAGGCUUAUCACAUGCAAGUCGAGCGGGCACUUUCGGGUGUCAGCGGCGGACGGGUGCGUAACGCGUGGGAACGUGCCCUCUGGUUCGGAAUAACUCAGGGAAACUUGAGCUAAUACCGGAUACGCCCUUUUGGGGAAAGGCUUGCUGCCGGAGGAUCGGCCCGCGUCUGAUUAGCUAGUUGGUGAGGGAACGGCUCACCAAGGCGACGAUCAGUAGCUGGUCUGAGAGGAUGAUCAGCCACACUGGGACUGAGACACGGCCCAGACUCCUACGGGAGGCAGCAGUGGGGAAUAUUGGACAAUGGGCGCAAGCCUGAUCCAGCCAUGCCGCGUGAGUGAUGAAGGCCGUAGGGUUGUAAAGCUCUUUUAUCCGGGACGAUAAUGACGGUACCGGAGGAAUAAGCCCCGGCUAACUUCGUG